UGGGGAAUAUUGGACAAUGGAGGCAACUCUGAUCCAGCAAUUCUGUGUGUGUGAAGAAGGUUUUAGGACUGUAAAACACUUUUAGUAGGGAAGAAAAAAAUGACGGUACCUACAGAAGAAGCGACGGCUAAAUACGUGCCAGCAGCCGCGGUAAUACGUAUGUCGCGAGCGUUAUCCGGAAUUAUUGGGCUUAAAGGGCAUCUAGGCGGUUAAACAAGUUGAAGGUGAAAACCUGUGGCUCAACCAUAGGCUUGCCUACAAAACUGUAUAACUAGAGUACUGGAAAGGUGGGUGGAACUACACGAGUAGAGGUGAAAUUCGUAGAUAUGUGUAGGAAUGCCGAUGAUGAAGAUAACUCACUGGACAGCAACUGACGCUGAAGUGCGAAAGCUAGGGGAGCAAACAGG
rnacentral:rRNA from 1 species